AACCCCACGUUAGACGUGGGGUUCAGGAGAGCUUACAGCGAUGAGGAAGACAUAAAAACUCCUUUUGAUAUAAUAAAGUUGCGGUCUGCCAACUGCAACAAGUAUAUCAAAAG
rnacentral:sRNA from 1 species